GCCCGUCUAGCUCAACUGGUCGAGCACGGAACUUGUAAUUCCGGGGAUCCCGGUUCGAAUCCGGGGGCGGGCU
rnacentral:tRNA from 1 species